rnacentral:rRNA from 1 species
ACGAACGCUGGCGGCGUGCUUAACACAUGCAAGUCGAACGGAAAGGCCCUGCUUUUGUGGGGUGCUCGAGUGGCGAACGGGUGAGUAACACGUGAGUAACCUGCCCUUGACUUUGGGAUAACUUCAGGAAACUGGGGCUAAUACCGGAUAGGAGCUCCUGCUGCAUGGUGGGGGUUGGAAAGUUUCGGCGGUUGGGGAAGGACUCGCGGCUUAUCAGCUUGUUGGCGGGGUAGUGGCUUACCAAGGCUUUGACGGGUAGCCGGCCUGAGAGGGUGACCGGCCACAUUGGGACUGAGAUACGGCCCAGACUCCUACGGGAGGCAGCAGUGGGGAAUAUUGCACAAUGGGCGGAAGCCUGAUGCAGCAACGCCGCGUGCGGGAUGACGGCCUUCGGGUUGUAAACCGCUUUCGCCUGUGACGAAGCGUGAGUGACGGUAAUGGGUAAAGAAGCACCGGCUAACUACGUG